rnacentral:rRNA from 1 species
CCUACGGGGUGCAGCAGUGGGGAAUAUUGGACAAUGGGCGAAAGCCUGAUCCAGCCAUGCCGCGUGUGUGAAGAAGGCCUUCGGGUUGUAAAGCACUUUCAGUGGGGAAGAAAGCCUUGGGGCUAAUACCCUCGAGGAAGGACAUCACCCACAGAAGAAGCACCGGCUAACUCCGUGCCAGCAGCCGCGGUAAUACGGAGGGUGCGAGCGUUAAUCGGAAUUACUGGGCGUAAAGCGCGCGUAGGCGGUCUGAUAAGCCGGUUGUGAAAGCCCCGGGCUCAACCUGGGAACGGCAUCCGGAACUGUCAGGCUAGAGUGCAGGAGAGGAAGGUAGAAUUCCCGGUGUAGCGGUGAAAUGCGUAGAGAUCGGGAGGAAUACCAGUGGCGAAGGCGGCCUUCUGGACUUACACUGACGCUGAGGUGCGAAAGCGUGGGUAGCAAACAGGAUUAGAUACCCUGGUAGUC